rnacentral:tRNA from 1 species
GGGGGUAUGGCUAAGUAGAACACCUGCUUGACAAGCACAAGACCUUGAGUUCAAACCCCAGUACCACCA